rnacentral:rRNA from 1 species
UUGUGACUUAGUGGCGGACGGGUGAGUAACGCGUGGGUAACCUGCCUCACACAGGGGGAUAACAGUUGGAAACGACCGCUAAUACCGCAUAACCCGCUAGGGCCGCAUGGCCCGGACGGAAAAGAUUUAUCGGUGUGAGAUGGACCCGCGUUGGAUUAGCUAGUUGGCAGGGUAACGGCCUACCAAGGCGACGAUCCAUAGCCGGCCUGAGAGGGUGAACGGCCACAUUGGGACUGAGACACGGCCCAA